rnacentral:tRNA from 1 species
AAUCAUUUAGUUAAAAAAUAACGUAACUUUUUCAGAGUUAGAUUAAUUUUAGGAUUAAUAAUUA